CUCACCCUGCAGAUGACAAACUACAUCUCACCAUUAAACUCCAUACUUGAGAAGUUAAAUCGUUUGUAUCAUACAUUUGGUUGAAUUUGUUUAAAUAGCCAGAUUUUACCCAUCAAGAUGGUACUACCUUCAACUAACCUGUUGAGGAUUACACAAUGCAUCUUCAUAUUUGCCAUCUCAGGUUCCCUGUGGUCAGUCACUCCAGCAGUUAUGAGCACCACCCCAACAAACAAAAUGAUAUUCCAGAUGGACAUAAAGAUCACCAAUCGUGUCUUCAAUGACUCCCUAUUGAAUCCAAAUUCCGAGGACUACAAGAAAAUGUAUGACGAGGUCAGCCAACUGCUUGCUGAUGUCUACAAGUCUCCUACAUCCGGAACAGCAUCCACUUAUGAGGGCGUUGCAACAAUGACUUUCAGAAAUGGAUCAGUGAUCGCAAACGCUGACAUAGUUUUCAACACAACGUCUAUCAAUGGAUUUGUGGUCAAGUUUGAUUUCCUGAAUCAUAUCAAAGCCAAUCCUUCUGCCUCUCUCCAGAUAGAUACAAAUUAUAUGGAAUCAGAAACAGUUGCGGCUCCAACCUCAACCAUAACCACCCCCACCUCAACCAUAACCACCCCCACCACACCUACUACAACAAUAACUCACAUGACUGCAACCCCUACUAACCCACCAACAAUCACACCAUUGGCUACAAAUACAACUAUAAACAUUCCUACAAAUUCCACUCCAUUGGCUCUAACUACUUCUACAAAAAUUCCUACAAAAUUCACCUCAUUGGCUCCAAAUAUAACUGCGACAAUUCCAACCACAACCAGCCUGUUGGUUACAAAUACAACUAUGAACAUUCCAACAACUUCCACCACAUUGGCUCUAAAUACAACUAUUAACAUUCCUACAAAUUCAACUCCUUUAGUUCUAACUACUUCUACGAAUAUUCCUACAAAUUCCACUCCAUUUGCUCUAACUACUUCUACAAAAAUCCCUAAAACAUUCACCUCAUUGGCUCCAAAUAUAACUGUGACAAUUCCGACAACCACCCUAUUGUCUACAAAUACAACUAUGAAAAUUCCAACAAAUUCCACCCCACUGGCUCCAGCUACAACUACCAAAAUUCCAACAAAUUCCACCCCACUGGCUCCAGCUACAACUACCAAAAUUCCAACAAAUUCCACCCCACUGGCUCCAGCUACAACUACCAAAAUUCCAACAAAUUCCACCCCACUGGCUCCAGCUACAACUACCAAAAUUCCAACAACCCCAUUGGCUUCAACUACAACAAUGAAAUUUCCAACAACUUCCACCCCAUUGGCUCCAUCUACAAUUACGAAAGAUCCCUCUUUUGACAAAACCACACAAGAUCCAAUUACCGUAGUAACCUUCUCUUCCACUAAAGGCAGCGGAAAGAGAAACAAUAGUGUACUCCCUACAUCCAGUCCUACAAAUAUGUCAUCUUCAAUGACAACUAGUGGUUCAGGAGGAAACUACAAGACCAAUACAAUUCAUCCACCCACCACAAGUCAUGGUGCCAGUCCUUCACCUGAGACGGUGGACCCAGAAAAAAACAGUAAGAGACCAAACAUCUCCCCAUCUGGUGGUUUAACCAACCGUCCCCUGAAGCCUUCCAUCGGGCCUCAGUCAAGCACAACAACUAAAUCUAGCACAACUGCCAACGCAGCAUCCAGGGAUAAUGGUGGGGGGUUCAGUGACUGGGUACCGGGAUGGGCCAUUGCGCUGUUGGUGUUAGCUGCUGUCAUCCUGCUGCUCCUCAUUAUCAUCUUCAUCAUGAUGGUGGUGCGCUGGUGCUGUAAAAGGUCAGAUGGUCCGUACGCUCAUGAAAAAAAGAGCACCCCCAACAUGGACUCUUUCCCCACAUAUGUCCCCCAAGCCCCUGUACAGGAGCAACCCAAUGGCAAGACCUUUGAGACUAUUCAGGAUGACCCACGAAAGAAGAAAAAAACAGGCAUGUACAUAGUGAACCCCUGAGCAGGAAGAUGUGGAGGUGACAUACCAACAGGUACCUAAACCCAACACAGCUCCUGAUUGGUGGCAAACUCUUGUCUGCAGAACAAGAUCUGACAAAGAUGAGCUACAAGCAAAACCAUGUCACAACCUCUGUAGAUACUGUAUAGUUUGUCAGGAAUUUAGCAUGUUAUAUUGGAUGAAAAUGAUCGGAAUGAUUUCAUAUGUUUGUAUUUAUUCCACAAAUCUUGCGCAUAAAUUUUGGCCAACCUUGCUAGUAUUUUUGAACUGUAUCUGAUGUCGUCAUAUUUGACCCUGUUAUGAACACAACCAGCAUCAAGCUGAUAUAUUUUUUCAGAUUUUUCAUUGGCACAAAUAUCUCAGAUGUUUUGCUUUGCAUCAUGUUCAACUGCUCAAUUGUAUAAUGCUAAAGAUGAAUGUUAAAUCAAAUAUGAAAAUCAGAGUUCCUUAAUUGGUCAGAUAUUUGAAUCGGGAGUUUACAGCAAUGAUGUAUAUGAGCCCUGGAUUGCAGAUGCUAUGUGUUUGCCAUUGACAGGCUUUGAAGCCACCAGUCGGCCAUUUUGGCACUCCCCAGUUGGAGCAGUCCUUCAUAGGAAUACAUGGAAUUCUACAGUACUUCAAUUAAAUGUUUCAGGGACAAAAUUACAUGUAUUUAAAUAUUUGUUUAUUGUUGGGACAGUAACAUUGGUGAUCUCAAAAAAAUAUACUUUAAACGUUUUUCUAUAUUUUAUUUGUAUGUUUAGCUCACAUAAUACAAUGUAAAAGUAUGCAAUAAGGUGUCUGAAAUAGAAUAGUUGUGGCAAAAACAAAUUUAGAAAUUAAGAAAUUCAUUUCUGUAGCUUCCAAAAUAUAUUUUUUACGUUGAAGGAGUGCCAAGAUGGAGGCAUGGUGGCUUCAAUAGAGCAGCCAAAACAGUAUUCUAGUGUGUAUAUAUAAAUCAUUGGCUUACAACAUGUGCAGUAAUAAUGUGACAUCUUGAGAAAUGGAAAUAGAUGUAGGUCUGAAUCUUAACUUGAUUUGAGUGCCCAUUGAUGUCAAUGGAAGAUUUUCAAAAACUCCAGUUACACGCACAGAUCUCAAGUUAGGAUUUGGGACUUGAGAAUUACACAUGUAAAUAGGAGUACAUUUCUGAGUACUGAGUUUGUAUCAUGUUAUGUACAAUUUAAUGGAAGACUUGUAAAUAAAUGCUGAGAACCAAGA